rnacentral:rRNA from 1 species
UACGUAGGGGGCAAGCGUUGUUCGGAAUUACUGGGCGUAAAGGGCGCGUAGGCGGCAUGGCAAGUCAGGAGUGAAAGGCCUGGGCUCAACCGAGGAACUGCUUUUGAUACUGCCAAGCUAGAGUGCGGAAGGGGCAACUGGAAUUCCCAGUGUAGCGGUGAAAUGCGUAGAUAUUGGGAAGAACACCUGAGGCCAAGGCGGGUUGCUGGGCCGACACUGACGCUGAGGCGCGAAAGCCAGGGGAGCAAACGGG